rnacentral:lncRNA from 1 species
CAAUGAUUCUUCAACAUCAACUUCGUUGGACUGGUCAUGUUGUUCAUAUGCCUGAUUGGUGUCUUCCAAAUCAACUACUCUAUUCCGAACUUAAAAAUGGAAAGCAUAAUGCUGGUGGUAAACAAAAGAGGUUUAAAGACUGUCUCAAGGCAAAUCUAAAAAAAUGUAGUGUAAACACCGACAACUGGGAAACACUGGCCUGCAAGCGCUCCAGUUGGAGAACAGCCUUUACCGAAGGUGUCAUGGGCUUUGAAGACACUCGAACUCAGGACAAAAGGGAGAAACGUGCUAAGAGGAAGGCAUGCUUGGCAAAUCCACAACAUGAUCAACUCCCACCCAGAAACCAAUGUCCCCACUGUGGAAGGACGUGUGGAUCCAGAAUUGGCCCCCAUAGUAAAGGUAAAGGGUAAAGGGACUCCUGACCAUCAGGUCCAGUCGUGGCCGACUCUGGGGUUGCAGUGCUCAUCUUGCUUUAUUGGCCGAGGGAGCCGGCGUACAGCUUCCGGGUCAUGUGGCCAGCAUGACUAAGCCGCUUCUGGUGAACCAGAGCAGCGCACGGAAACGCCGUUUACCUUCCUGCCAGAGCUGUACCUAUUUAUCUACUUGCACUUUGACGUGCUUUCUAACUGCUAGGUUGGCAGGAGCAGGGACCGAGCAACGGGAGUUCACCCCAUCACAGGGAUUUGAACCGCCGACCUUCUGAUCGGCAAGUCCUAGGCUCUGUGGUUUAACCCACAGCACCACCCUUGUCCCAGCCUCCAUAGUAGGGCGGUUCAUAAAAAAACACUUUUUUUAAAAAAAAUGCCUGCUCCAAACGUCUUAUUUUACUACACUAGGGAUUAUAUAGGUAUAUCUGAGAUUUCAUCCAUAUCAGUUAAUAUCUUGACCCUCCGCCACGAAAAUAGCUGUUUACUUGGCCAUUUUCCUAUGUCGUGAAGGCUGAAAUUUCAAUUCAGUGGAGCAGGGUCAAGAUAUUAACUGAUAUGCAUGAAAUUUCAUAUAUAUCUAUAUAAUCCCUAGUGUAGCAAGAUAAGAGCUUUGGAGCAGGUAUUUAAAAAAUAAAUAAAUUAUGAACCGCCCUACUCCACAGUCACUUAAGGACUCACUUUUAAGAUUGUGUUCAUGGAAGACAAUCUUACACACCUACGAGUGAUCACCAAAAAAGAGUCUAGAAGUAUCUGAAGGGCUUCAGAUUCCUUACUCCUGUGUUAUGGUGCGAACAGCAUUUUGGAAGUCCCUGCCUAUUGCAAACAAGCAACCACCUUCACUGUACUCUUUUUGGUCCCUACCUAAAACAUUCUCCCUUAGACUAGCCUACCCAGAUGCUUAGAAUGUUGGUAUAAUUCUAAUCUGGUUUACCAUUUUAACUUUUGUAUGUUUUAAGGUACGGUUGUGAAUUUUUUCUCGAUUUUAUUGUUUCAUCUCUUUGCAAAGUUCUCUGAGGUUCACAACAAUCAAGGGCGGGUAAAUUUUAUAAAAUAAAUCAAUAAAUGUGCAAAGGUUGGACUAGAUGAUCCUUGGGUCCAUUCCAACUCAAUCAGAUGGGUGGUAUAUAAAUAAUUAUUAUUAUUAUUAUUAUUAUUAUUAUUAUUCCACGAUUCUAUGACCAGGCCACCCUGUUGAGAUACUUUCGAUUAAAUGGCUUAAACCUCAUUGGUUUACAAAUAAAUCAAGUUGAUGAUGAUACCUUUGAUUACUCCCCGCAUCUAUCAUGCCUAUUGCAAAUUCUUUCCAUUCAUUGUAUGAUUGUGGCCCAUUUCAUCCUUUUUUAAAAUCAAUAACGUGUUAUUGAUAUCAUCAAAGCCUUUUCCCUCAUUUCCUGUAAUGGUGUCAUUAAAUGCUUGCUGCCAAGUUUAUUUCCUUGCUUAUAAUCAAUUGUGUCUGGAUUAUGUAACUGAAGCAGAAACAAACAUUUUCUGACAUUUCAGAGUUGGAAACAGAGAUGAACUUGCAACACCUCAAUUUAUAUACCCAGGACCAGUCCCCAAAUGCAGAGGCCCAUUGCUACACAUGCCUGAAGGCCAAAGGACCUUCUACUUCAGCAUCCUACUAAGUUCAAUAUAUCUACUCUGAGCAGGACUAGUCCUGGAUACAGUGGUACCUUGGUUCUCAAACACCUUGGUUCCCAAAUGCCAAAAACCCUGGAAGUGCUCUGGUUUUCAAACGAUUUUCGGAAGCCGAACGUCCGAAACGGUUGUCAGCUAUUGUUUCCGGGACACCUGCACCAAUCAGAAGCUGCG